AAUCAGAUGCUCUUGGAUAUCAAGUAGACUUCAGGAGACUGCUUCACACUAGAUAACUGUACCUCUAUGACUCGGGAAGAGGAGAAGGAGCACAGUGGCAGCUGGACAGUCAAUACUGGAGUGCCAGUUGAUAAACAUUUACCAGCAUACCCAUUCCAGUCUUAAAUCACAAUAGAUGGAUAUCAAGAGGCUCUGAGCAAUUUGGAGGCAAGAGUAAGAAAAAGUUCAAGUUUCAAGAUUGAGCUUCAAAGCAUCUUGCUGCAUAACACCUUCAUGUUCUCUGCCCAGCUGUACACUUUCCCCACUCCACUUCCAAAGUAUUAUUUGACUUACCU
rnacentral:lncRNA from 1 species